GAUGAAGAACGUAGCGAAAUGCGAUAAGUAAUGUGAAUUGCAGAAUUCAGUGAAUCAUCGAAUCUUUGAACGCACCUUGCGCCCUUUGGCCAUUCCGAAGGGCAUGCCUGUUUGAGUAUCAUGAACACCUCAACUCUCAUGGUUUGCCAUGAUGAGCUUGGACUUGGGGGUUUUGCUGGCCUUCGGUCGGCUCCUCUCAAACGGAUCAGCUUUCCAGUGUUUGGUGGCAUCACGGGUGUGAUAACUAUCUACGCCUGUGGUUUUCUGCCAGAUAACCUUCAGCGAUGGAGGUUCGCUGGGGCUCAUAAAUGUCUCUCUUCAGUGGAGACAGCUUUUUGGACGUUUGAUCUCAAAUCAGGUAGGACUACCCGCUGAACUUAAGCAUAUCAAUAAGCGGAGGA
rnacentral:misc_RNA from 1 species